rnacentral:lncRNA from 1 species
GAAAGGAUCACCUGGGAGACCAAGUUACAGGCAGGGUCAUGUGGAAGUGGAAGCUAAGCUGAGAACAUGGGUUGCUUCCAAUGAGGGCAGGUUCUUCCUUUCCCUUGUUAGAAUGGCAGGGAUUGCAUAGAGCAAAGGGAAUAAAGACCAGAGACAUAUCCUCGGGGCACCUGAGGUGCUGGCUGGCCCUGACCAUGCACUCCCCACCACCACUCUCUUCUGGAACAUCAGGCUGAAGUAAUGGCCACUUUCAUGAGUUAUAAUUGACCCUACUCCAUAAAGAGGUACCAGUUCCCAGGCAGGUGGUCUGAGUAAAUCCAGUGCUACUUUUCCCCUCUACAGAGCCAGCAAAGCAGAAUCAGACCCUCUGGCUGGGCUGGUUACUCCCCCAAUCCU